rnacentral:rRNA from 1 species
CUGGCGGCGUGCCUAAUACAUGCAAGUCGAGCGGACAGAAGGGAGCUUGCUCCCGGAUGUUAGCGGCGGACGGGUGAGUAACACGUGGGUAACCUGCCUGUAAGACUGGGAUAACUCCGGGAAACCGGAGCUAAUACCGGAUAGUUCCUUGAACCGCAUGGUUCAAGGAUGAAAGACGGUUUCGGCUGUCACUUACAGAUGGACCCGCGGCGCAUUAGCUAGUUGGUGGGGUAAUGGCUCACCAAGGCGACGAUGCGUAGCCGACCUGAGAGGGUGAUCGGCCACACUGGGACUGAGACACGGCCCAGACUCCUACGGGAGGCAGCAGUAGGGAAUCUUCCGCAAUGGACGAAAGUCUGACGGAGCAACGCCGCGUGAGUGAUGAAGGUUUUCGGAUCGUAAAGCUCUGUUGUUAGGGAAGAACAAGUGCGAGAGUAACUGCUCGCACCUUGACGGUACCUAACCAGAAAGCCACGGCUAACUACGUGCCAGCAGCCGCGGUAAUACGUAGGUGGCAAGCGUUGUCCGGAAUUAUUGGGCGUAAAGGGCUCGCAGGCGGUUUCUUAAGUCUGAUGUGAAAGCCCCCGGCUCAACCGGGGAGGGUCAUUGGAAACUGGGAAACUUGAGUGCAGAAGAGGAGAGUGGAAUUCCACGUGUAGCGGUGAAAUGCGUAGAGAUGUGGAGGAACACCAGUGGCGAAGGCGACUCUCUGGUCUGUAACUGACGCUGAGGAGCGAAAGCGUGGGGAGCGAACAGGAUUAGAUACCCUGGUAGUCCACGCCGUAAACGAUGAGUGCUAAGUGGUUAGGGGGUUUCCGCCCCUUAGUGCUGCAGCUAACGCAUUAAGCACUCCGCCUGGGGGAGUACGGUCGCAAGACUGAAACUCAAAGGAAUUGACGGGGGCCCGCACAAGCGGUGGAGCAUGUGGUUUAAUUCGAAGCAACGCGAAGAACCUUACCAGGUCUUGACAUCCUCUGACAACCCUAGAGAUAGGGCUUUCCCUUCGGGGACAGAGUGACAGGUGGUUGCAUGGUUGUCGUCAGCUCGUGUCGUGAGAUGUUGGGUUAAGUCCCGCAACGAACGCAACCCUUGAUCUUA